rnacentral:rRNA from 1 species
AUUGAACGCUGGCGGCAGGCCUAACACAUGCAAGUCGAACGAGUGGCGGACGGGUGAGUAAUGUCUGGGAAACUGCCUGAUGGAGGGGGAUAAAUACUGGAAACGGUAGCUCAUACCGCAUACCCUCGGAUGUGCCCAGAUUGGAGUAUAUAGUAGGUGGGGUAAAGGCUCACCUAGGCGACGAUCCCUAGCUGGUCCGAGAGGAGGACCAGCCACCCUGGAACUGAGACACGGUCCAGACUCCUACGGGAGGCAGCAGUGGGGAAUAUUGCACAAUGGGCGCAAGCCUGAUGCAGCCAUGCCGCGUGUAUGAAGAAGGCCUUCGGGUUGUAAAGUUCUUUCAGCGAGGAGGCGUUACUCGCAGAAGAAGCACCGGCUAACUCCGUGCCAGCAGCCGCGGUAAUAC